UCGAAUGUAACAUGGUUAUGAAGUGCAUCAGUCGGUUGUGGUCUACUCCAUAUGCCGAGAUGUACUAAACAACUUGUUAGCAGAUAUGAGCAGGAAGGCACUAUUAUCCGGUGCCUACCUGGAGUCCUGAAGCUAUUAGCCUCCUUGGCAUUUAUUUGAAAUUAUAUAUGAAGACUGUUCAGUAGGUACUGUACUUAAAGAAUGUUAAUUCUGCCCUGGUGUGAGGUGACUAGGAAUUUGGUUCCUUUAUGCCUUUCAGCAACUCCUUUGGGGCUGUGUGUGCCAAUCCGAGGUUUCUACCUCAUGGCCCUUCCUGGGGCGAGUUAUUGGAUUUGACCUGUAACUAAAGCUGCGCUAAGCCUAAAGAUGCUGCAGACUCGACACUCAACGAGGAACUGGAUGUCAAGAUAGUGCAUAGCCUGUCCCUCCCCCGAGAGUGCGAUCCAUCAAGAGUUCGUGCGUUCAUCUCCUCGGAUGGCUUGACCUGCAUUAGGAGCAGGCACGCUCGCAUGCUGCACCCCUCCACACACCUCUGCUCCCAGGCCAGCCAACACAUCAUCCACCUCCGCUGGCUGUCUGAUUACGAAGUGGACCUGCAGCCUG